rnacentral:lncRNA from 2 species
AUGCCUUCAAAAAGUUGGCCUCAUUUUCUGAAGCUGAAAUCCUUUUGAUCAUAAUUACUUCUGACCUAAAAUUACCCACAGUCACCAUACAAUGCCACGCUGGGACAAAAAAGAAAUACAUAUUAUUGCAUUCUUACCCAAAUACUCUUCGUGAUUGCCUGCUUUGCGGCUUUGGGCCGAUGCAAGCUGCAAAAUGGCGAGUCUUCUAAGGUGCCUUUCCUUCCCUGGGAUCCUCAUCUUAGAAUGAGCAGAGGCACAUCGAUAAGAACUGGACCUUGAUUUCACAACCUCAUACAAAGCCAGGCAAUUCUUGAGCCAAACAAAGGGGGUGUAAGCUAUUUCAUUUAUUUUGAUAAUCCUCCUCUUGCACGGGAGCAUUUUGCUGUCUUUGUCAAAGUGAAUGACAACAAUUUGGCCAACUCUCUCUGAGCUGCACUCAACAGUGACAGGCAAAUUAUCAGAGGCCCUGCACUUCUUAUUAUCAGAGGAGAAGCCAUCAGGGGGACGCAUGGAGGAUACCUCUCCCUUGUCACUAUUUGUCAGUGGGACAAGGGC